rnacentral:lncRNA from 1 species
AGUCCAACUGCUGCCCAUGUGAAGAAACGGUCAUCAGCCUGCCGCGGAAUGCUCUGUUGAGGUGUAUGCAAUGUCCGAUGCUCAUUAGGCCGUACAGCAGGGGGCUCUAUAGGUGUCUGUACAGGAUCAGCAUCUAAAGCCAAUUCACGUCUUUCUUCAGUAGUUGUGUCAGCAACAGAUGGAUUAGGAGGUCUUUCUUCAGUAGCCUCGUUACUGGGGUUCUCAGGACUCUCUUGAACCUCCUCCUCUCUAUUACUGUUCUGUUCUUCGGG